GGGUGAGUAACACGUAUGCAACCUGCCCCUGUCAGGGGGACAACCCGCCGAAAGGCGGGCUAAACCCGCGUACAUGCCACCGGGGCAUCCCGGAGGCAGGAAAGGCUUCGGCCGGACAGGGAUGGGCAUGCGGCGCAUUAGGCAGUAGGCGGGGUAACGGCCCACCUAACCGACGAUGCGUAGGGGUUCUGAGAGGAAGGUCCCCCACACUGGUACUGAGACACGGACCAGACUCCUACGGGAGGCAGCAGUGAGGAAUAUUGGUCAAUGGUCGGGAGACUGAACCAGCCAAGCCGCGUGAGGGAUGAAGGUACAGAGUAUCGUAAACCCCUUUUGUCAGGGAACAAAGGCGGGGACGUGUCCCCGGAUGAGUGUACCUGAAGAAAAAGCAUCGGCUAACUCCGUGCCAGCAGCCGCGGUAAUACGGAGGAUGCGAGCGUUAUCCGGAUUUAUUGGGUUUAAAGGGUGCGCAGGCGGUCUGUUAAGUCAGCGGUCAAAGCCCGGGGCUCAACCCCGGCCCGCCGUUGAAACUGGCAGUCUCGAGUUGGAGAGAAGUAUGCGGAAUGCGCGGUGUAGCGGUGAAAUGCAUAGAUAUCGCGCAGAACUCCGAUUGCGAAGGCAGCAUGCCGGCUCCACACUGACGCUGAGGCACGAAAGCGUGGGUAUCGAACAGGAUUAGAUACCCUGGUAGUCCACGCAGUAAACGAUGAAUGCAGGCUGUCCGGG
rnacentral:rRNA from 1 species